CCCUUAGAUGUCCUGGGCCGCACGCGCGCUACACUGAUGCAUUCAACGAGUUUUACCUUGGCCGAGAGGCCUGGGCAAUCUUUUAAACCUGCAUCGUGAUAGGGAUAGAUUAUUGCAAUUAUUAAUCUUGAACGAGGAAUUCCUAGUAAACGCAAAUCAUCAAUUUGCAUUGAUUACGUCCCUGCCCUUUGUACACACCGCCCGUCGCACCUACCAAUUGAAUGGUCCGGUGAAGCCUCGGGAUUGUGGCCAGUUCACUUUAUUGGGAGUUGGCUGUGAGAACUUGUCUAAACCUUAUCAUUUAGAGGAAGGUGAAGUCGUAACA
rnacentral:rRNA from 1 species